CUUGAUGGUAGUGUAUUGGACUACCAUGGCUCUCACGGGUAACGGAGAAUUAGGGUUCGAUUCCGGAGAAGGAGCCUGAGAAACGGCUACUACAUCUAAGGAAGGCAGCAGGCGCGUAAAUUACCCAAUCCUGACUCAGGGAGGUAGUGACAAGAUGUAACAACGCGAGUAAAAUCGUGAUUGUAGUGAAGGUAUUCUAAAUCGAACUUUGAGUACGAUUAGAGGGCAAGUCUGGUGCCAGCAGCCGCGGUAAUUCCAGCUCUAAUAGCGUAUAUUAAAGUUGUUGCAGUUAAAAAGCUCGUAGUUGGAUUGCAAGAGCAUCAAUAUGUCUAACAUAUUGGUCUCUACCAGCCAAAAGGCUGUUACUGUGAGAAAAUUAGAGUGUUUCAAGCAGGCUUAUGCAGGAAUACAUUAGCAUGGAAUAACGAAUGUAUCUAGAAUCUUGGUUAAUUCUGGAAUACGAUUAAUAGGGACAGUUGGGGGCAUUAGUAUUUAAAUGUCAGAGGUGAAAUUCUUGGAUUAUUUAAAGACUAACGUAUGCGAAAGCAUUUGCCAAGGAUGUUUUCAUUAAUCAAGAACGAAAGAUAGGGGAUCAAAGACGAUCAGAUACCGUC
rnacentral:rRNA from 1 species